rnacentral:rRNA from 1 species
CAGCCGCCGCGGUAAUACGAAGGGGGCUAGCGUUGUUCGGAAUUACUGGGCGUAAAGCGCACGUAGGCGGACUUUUAAGUCAGGGGUGAAAUCCCGGGGCUCAACCUCGGAACUGCCUUUGAUACUGGAAGUCUUGAGUGUGGAAGAGGUAAGUGGAAUUGCGAGUGUAGAGGUGAAAUUCGUAGAUAUUCGCAGGAACACCAGUGGCGAAGGCGGCUUACUGGUCCACAACUGACGCUGAGGUGCGAAAGCGUGGGGAGCAAACAGGAUUAGAUACCCCCGUAGUCCCUGUCUCUUAUAC